rnacentral:rRNA from 1 species
GAUGAACACUGGCGGCGUGCUUAACACAUGCAAGUCGAACGAGAAGUGAAGACGGAAACCUUCGGGCGGAAGGCUUUAUUUCGAGUGGCGGACGGGUGAGUAACGCGUGGGUAACCUGCCUCAUACAGGGGGAUAACAGUUGGAAACGACUGUUAAUACCGCAUAAGACCACAGCACCGCAUGGUGCGGGGGUAAAAACUCCGGUGGUAUGAGAUGGACCCGCGUUCGAUUAGCCAGUUGGCGGGGUAACGGCCCACCAAAGCGACGAUCGAUAGCCGAUCUGAGAGGAUGACCGGCCACAUUGGGACUGAGACACGGCCCAAACUCCUACGGGAGGCAGCAGUGGGGAAUAUUGCACAAUGGGGGAAACCCUGAUGCAGCGACGCCGCGUGAGUGAAGAAGUAUUUCGGUAUGUAAAGCUCUAUCAGCAGGGAAGAAAAUGACGGUACCUGAGUAAGAAGCCCCGGCUAACUACGUG